rnacentral:rRNA from 1 species
UGGGGAAUUUUGGACAAUGGGCGCAAGCCUGAUCCAGCAAUGCCGCGUGAGUGAAGAAGGCCUUCGGGUUGUAAAGCUCUUUUGUCAGGGAAGAAACGGCCGGGGCUAAUAUCCCCGGCUAAUGACGGUACCUGAAGAAUAAGCACCGGCUAACUACGUGCCAGCAGCCGCGGUAAUACGUAGGGUGCAAGCGUUAAUCGGAAUUACUGGGCGUAAAGCGUGCGCAGGCGGUUUUGUAAGUCUGACGUGAAAUCCCCGGGCUCAACCUGGGAAUUGCGUUGGAGACUGCAAGGCUGGAGUCUGGCAGAGGGGGGUAGAAUUCCACGUGUAGCAGUGAAAUGCGUAGAGAUGUGGAGGAACACCGAUGGCGAAGGCAGCCCCCUGGGUCAAGACUGACGCUCAUGCACGAAAGCGUGGGGAGCAAAC